AACGCUGGCGGCGUGCCUAAUACAUGCAAGUCGAACGGUCUUUUCUAUGGAAGCUUGCUUCCACUGAGAAGAUAGUGGCGAACGGGUGAGUAACACGUGGGUAACCUGCCCAUAAGAGGGGGAUAACAUCCGGAAACGGGUGCUAAUACCGCAUAGUUUUCUUAAUCGCAUGAUUGAGAAAAGGAAGACGGCCUUUGUGCUGUCGCUUAUGGAUGGACCCGCGGCGUAUUAGUUAGUUGGUGAGGUAACGGCUCACCAAGACGAUGAUACGUAGCCGACCUGAGAGGGUGAUCGGCCACAUUGGGACUGAGACACGGCCCCAAAACUCCUACGGGAGGCAGCAGUAGGGAAUCUUCCGCAAAUGGACGAAAGUCUGACGGAGCAACGCCGCGUGAGUGAAGAAGGUUUCGGAUCGUAAAACUCUGUUGUCAGAGAAGAACAAGUUGAGAGUAACUGCUCCAGCCUUGACGGUAUCUGACCAGAAAGCC
rnacentral:rRNA from 1 species